UUGGGACGAAAGGAUUCGAACCUCCGAAUAGCGGGACCAAAACCCGUUGCCUUACCACUUGGCCACGCCCCA
rnacentral:tRNA from 1 species